GACGUGACUUCAGAGUUUGAUCCUGGCUCAGGACGAACGCUGGCGGCGUGCUUAACACAUGCAAGUCGAACGAGAAUCUGUGGAACAAGGAUUCGUCCAAGUGAAGCGGAGGACAGUGGCGGACGGGUGAGUAACGCGUCGAGGAACCUGGCUUUCAGAGGGGGACAACAGUUGGAAACGACUGCUAAUACCGCAUAACGCAUAGGAGUCGCAUGGCUCAUAUGCCAAAGAUUUAUCGCUGAAAGAUGGCCUCGCGUCUGAUUAGCUAGUUGGUGAGGUAACGGCCCACCAAGGCGACGAUCAGUAGCCGGACUGAGAGGUUGAACGGCCACAUUGGGACUGAGAUACGGCCCAG
rnacentral:rRNA from 1 species